rnacentral:rRNA from 1 species
AGUGAACGCUGGCGGUAGGCCUAACACAUGCAAGUCGAACGGCAGCACAGUAAGAGCUUGCUCUUACGGGUGGCGAGUGGCGGACGGGUGAGGAAUACAUCGGAAUCUACUUUUUCGUGGGGGAUAACGUAGGGAAACUUACGCUAAUACCGCAUACGACCUACGGGUGAAAGCAGGGGAUCUUCGGACCUUGCGCGAUUGAAUGAGCCGAUGUCGGAUUAGCUAGUUGGCGGGGUAAAGGCCCACCAAGGCGACGAUCCGUAGCUGGUCUGAGAGGAUGAGCAGCCACACUGGAACUAAGACACGGUCCAGACUCCUACGGGAGGCAGCAGUGGGGAAUAUUGGACAAUGGGGGCAAGCCUGACCAGCCAUACCGCGUGGGUGAAGAAGGCCUUCGGGUUGUAAAGCCCUUUUGUUGGGAAAGAAAAGCAGCAGGUUAAUACCCCGCUGUUCUGACGGUACCCAAAGAAUAAGCACCGGCUAACUUCGUG